GAUGAACGCUGGCGGCGUGCCUAAUACAUGCAAGUCGAGCGAACAGACGAGGAGCUUGCUCCUCUGACGUUAGCGGCGGACGGGUGAGUAACACGUGGAUAACCUACCUAUAAGACUGGGAUAACUUCGGGAAACCGGAGCUAAUACCGGAUAAUAUAUUGAACCGCAUGGUUCAAUAGUGAAAGACGGUUUUGCUGUCACUUAUAGAUGGAUCCGCGCCGCAUUAGCUAGUUGGUAAGGUAACGGCUUACCAAGGCGACGAUGCAUAGCCGACCUGAGAGGGUGAUCGGCCACACUGGAACUGAGACACGGUCCAGACUCCUACGGGAGGCAGCAGUAGGGAAUCUUCCGCAAUGGGCGAAAGCCUGACGGAGCAACGCCGCGUGAGUGAUGAAGGUCUUCGGAUCGUAAAACUCUGUUAUUAGGGAAGAACAAAUGUGUAAGUAACUAUGCACGUCUUGACGGUACCUAAUCAGAAAGCCACGGCUAACUACGUG
rnacentral:rRNA from 1 species